rnacentral:rRNA from 1 species
GACAGAGGCCUCGAGCGUUUAGGCGGAAUCACUGGGCUUAAAGCGUGUGUAGGCGGAUGCCUAAGUACCUUGUGAAAUCCCACGGCUCACCCGUGGAACCGCUGGGUAUACUGGGCAUCUUGGGCCAUUCAGGGGCAACUGGAACAAGCGGUGGAGCGGUGAAAUGCGUAGAUAUCGCUUGGAACGCCGGACGGUGAAAACAGGUUGCUGGGAAUGUGCCGACGUGAGAACACGGAAAGCCAGGGGAGCAAACGGG